CAAGAUGCUCUACUGGCUGAUAUUGGAGUGAAGCAAGAUUCUUCACGGGUUUGACUUAGGUCUCGAAGCAUUCUUUUCAGAAUGUAGCUUUCCCUAGAAGAUUUUCAUCUAAUUCCCACUGUUCUCCUAAGAUCAAGGGCCUAUCCCUGCCUUCAAGACAUCUGUAGUUCUCCCUGGUGGGAGACACUGUGAGAAUCAAGUGGUUGGAAACUCUUUACGCUAAGUCUUACUGGUCCCCUCCUUCAGCUCUUUCCCUUCCAACGGCGAACUUGCCAAGAAGAACGGAAAUGUACAUUUCAUCAUGGCACGCCCCUUUCAAAUCUUGAAGCUUCUGUAAACCCAAAAGUAGCAGCACUAACAGUAGCAAGAAACGCAGUACUUCCUUCCAGGAGCCUGGUUACGGAAAGAGCAAUCGAGAAGGCACAGAACUCAUUGUAACACUGGCUGCGAGGCAAUACACACGUUUAAAAA